rnacentral:rRNA from 1 species
GGGAGCGUUCACAGGUGCUGCAUGGCUGUCGUCAGCUCCGUGCCGUGAGGUGUUCGGUUAAGUCCGGUAACGAGCGCAACCCUUGCUGUUAGUUACAAGUGUCUAACGGGACUGCCGGUUUAAUACCGGAGGAAGGUGGGAUGACGUCAAGUCAGCAUGGCCUCUAUGGUCCAGGGCUACACACACGCUACAAUGGCCGGUACAGUGGGUUGCCAAACCGCGAGGUGGAGCUAAUCCUCAAAGCCGGUCUCAGUUCGGAUUGUAGGCUGCAACUCGCCUGCAUGAAGUCGGAGUUGCUAGUAACCGCGCGUCAGCUAUAGCGCGGUGAAUACGUUCCCGGGCCUU